CUUUACACAUGCAGUCGAACGGCAGCACGGGGCAACCUGGUGGCGAGUGGCGAACGGGUGAGUAAUACAUCGGAACGUGCCCAAUCGUGGGGAUAACGUAGCGAAAGUUACGCUAAUACCGCAUACGAUCUACGGAUGAAAGCGGGGGAUCGCAAGACCUCGCGCGAAUGGAGCGGCCGAUGUCAGAUUAGGUAGUUGGUGGGGUAAAGGCUCACCAAGCCAACGAUCUGUAGCUGGUCUGAGAGGACGACCAGCCACACUGGGACUGAGACACGGCCCAGACUCCUACGGGAGGCAGCAGUGGGGAAUUUUGGACAAUGGGCGCAAGCCUGAUCCAGCCAUUCCGCGUGCAGGAUGAAGGCCUUCGGGUUGUAAACUGCUUUUGUACGGAACGAAACGGUUCUCUCUAAUACAGGGGGCUAAUGACGGUACCGUAAGAAUAAGCACCGGCUAACUACGUG
rnacentral:rRNA from 1 species